rnacentral:misc_RNA from 1 species
GAUGAAGAACGUAGCGAAAUGCGAAAAGUAAUGUGAAUUGCAGAAUUCAGUGAAUCAUCGAAUCUUUGAACGCACAUUGCGCCCGCCAGUAUUCUGGCGGGCAUGCCUGUCUGAGCGUCAUUUCAACCCUCAUGCCCCUAGGGCGUGGUGUUGGGGAUCGGCCAGCGCCCGCGAGGGACGGCCGGCCCCUAAAUCUAGUGGCGGACCCGUCGUGGCCUCCCCUGCGAAGUAGUGAUAUUCCGCAUAGGAGAGCGACGAGCCCCUGCCGUUAAACCCCCAACUUUCUAAGGUUGACCUCAGAUCAGGUAGGAAUACCCGCUGAACUUAAGCAUAUCAAAGCGGAGGA